GGUCAAGAGAGCCUCCCCUCCCCACCAUUCCCAGAAAAGGAGGAAGGGGCUGAUGGACUCUCUGGGAACCCCCUCCCCUCCCUGCGCCCCGUCAUCAAGAAGAAAAUUCGAAGAAAAGGUUUAGCAGGGACAGAGAAGCGACCUGUCCCGGAAACCCCUUAAAGCCUGCGAGUCAGUUCAAACUGGAAUCUGUCAGGCCCGUCCCGCUCGGGGUUGGUGAGGUCUGAGGGACUUCGGGGGAUCUUGCUCUGGUACCACUCUCGAUUGUCCUCCAGCGUGUCCAGCAGGUCCUGUGCAUCUGGGUGGACCAGUGUCUACCGGUUCAGCCCAGUCCCCUGCCAACCUGGGACUUCUCCACUGAGGCCGUAUGCUUGUCACACAUGGGACUGAUGUCCAGGCCCGACUCACGCUCGCGGUCUCCCUGCUGGAAGAACUCGGCCAUGAUGCGAGACAGGGUCUUGCUGUCACCCAGGCUGGAGUGCAGUGGUGCAAUCACGGUUCCCUGCAGCCUCAACCUCCUGGCCUCAAGUGAUCCUCCCAUCUCAGCCUCCUGAGUAGUUGGGAUUACAGGAACCAAAGCAGUGACUCAACAAAGCUCACCCAGGAAGGUCCGGGAGAUGUACUCGGACACCUGGUUCCCGGAGCGGCUGGUUUCGGACAGGUGGGUCAACUCCCGGUUCAGGAUCCGCUUGAACUGGGGCGGAGAGAAGGUGAAGACCGUGAUGAUGGGGCACCGUGGGCCGAGGCAGGUGAGCUCAGCGAUCUGCCCCACCUCACCUUGUUGGAGGCCAUCUCCCCCACCGAGUGCCGGGUCUGCAGCGUCUCCAACUGAUCCAGGCACCAGUCCAGCUCGUCUAGCGUCUCCAAUGCCAGCUUCUGCCCCGUGUCCUCUGGGAGCCGAGGCAGUCAGG
rnacentral:lncRNA from 10 species